GUCUGUUUGAUUCUAUGUUCAGUCUGACCUGCCCACUGAUUUUUUAAAAGGCCGCGGUACCCUGACCGUGCGAAGGUAGCAUAAUAAUUAGUCUUUUAAUUGGAGACUGGAAUGAAAGGUCGGACAAAAAGUAGACUGUCUCGAACCUAAAAAUUGAACUUAACUUUUAAGUGAAAAGGCUUAAAUAGUCUUGAAAGACGACAAGACCCUAUAAAACUUCAUACUAUAAAUGAUAAUUUCUCAACUUAUAAGUUUAACUAGAAUUAUAAUUUCAUGUAUUACGUUGGGGCGACGGAAGCAUAAAUGUUUAACUGCUUUAUCAUUUACACAAAUAUUAUUGCUCUUAACGACCCUUUUUUAAGAUUCAAAGAAAAAGUUACUUUAGGGAUAACAGCGUAAUUUUUUUUAAGAGUUCUUAUCGACAAAAAAGUUUGCGACCUCGAUGUUGAAUUAAAGUUCCUUCAUAGUGCAGCAACUAUGAGUAGUAGGUCUGUUCGACCUUUAAAACUUUACAUGAUUUGAGUUCAAACCGGCGUGAG
rnacentral:rRNA from 1 species